GGGUGCAGCAAUGUACCCAGUGGCGACCGGGUGCGUAACACGUAGCUGACCUGCCCCUCAGCGGGGGACAACAGUGCGAAAGCGCUGCUAAUACCGCAUACGCUUGAGAGCCUUAGAAUGUCUCAAGGAAACUUACGGGGUUGAGGGAGGGAGCUGCGGCCCAUCAGGUAGUUGGUGAGGUAGCGGCUCACCAAGCCGACGACGGGUAGGGGGCCUGAGAGGGUGGUCCCCCACACUGGGACUGACACACGGCCCAGACUCCUACUGGAGGCAGCAGUGGG
rnacentral:misc_RNA from 1 species